GGCCAGAUAGCUCAGAUGGUAGAGCAACGGACUGAAAAUCCGUGUGUCGUUGGUUCGAUUCCGACUCUGGCCA
rnacentral:tRNA from 1 species